rnacentral:rRNA from 1 species
GAUGAACGCUGGCGGCGUGCCUAAUACAUGCAAGUCGAGCGAACAGACGAUGAGCUUGCUCCUCUGACGUUAGCGGCGGACGGGUGAGUAACACGUGGAUAACCUACCUAUAAGACUGGGAUAACUUCGGGAAACCGGAGCUAAUACCGGAUAAUAUAUUGAACCGCAUGGUUCAAUAGUGAAAGACGGUUUUGCUGUCACUUAUAGAUGGAUCCGCGCCGCAUUAGAUAGUUGGUAAGGUAACGGCUUACCAAGGCAACGAUGCGUAGCCGACCUGAGAGGGUGAUCAGCCACACUGGAACUGAGACACGGUCCAGACUCCUACGGGAGGCAGCAGUAGGGAAUCUUGCGCAAUGGGCGAAAGCCUGACGGAGCAACGCCGCGUGAGUGAUGAAGGUCUUCGGAUCGUAAAACUCUGUUAUUAGGGAAGAACAAAUGUGUAAGUAACUAUGCACGUCUUGACGGUACCUAAUCAGAAAGCCACGGCUAACUACGUG